ACGACUUGAAAUCAGCUUGUAAGCCAGUUUUACUUUCAAAUGUUUCUCGCUUUUAUGCAACUUUAUGAUACAGAAAUUAAUAUUUAAUAUGAUAAAUUAAAGGCGUGAUCUAAAACAUAUUCACCUAUUUUUUAACAAAUAUCAUUCUAAUUUCCAUCUUUAUCAUGAUACUUAUCAACAUCAACAUCAUCAACCAUCGGACCAUUUCAAGUUGACCAUCUUAACAGGAAAAUUACUGGCAUUGUGUUUAGAGUAUUUCUGACUGACCAUGACAUUAUACAGCUUGUUGAUACUGUUGAAAUAUCCUUCAUCUAUUAGCAAAAAACAAUUUUAUUCAGAUACAAAAAUGGAAGUUUGGUCUAUUUUUCAAUGUACAAUUAAGAUCUCUCAACAAAUGAGUUCUAAUUUGGUGAAAGGAAAAGUAUUCAUUUAAAAUGCUCAAUACUGAAACUAUUACACAUACGAUUGAAUUAUUUGUCACAAUAGUAACAUCAUUGAUAAUUAUCCAUAAGUAUUGAUACAAUUUCCUGACACCUUUCCAUAGCUAACACAAAAACUUCCUGAAACAUGGUUGAGUUACCAACCCGAGCAUUGCUCCAUUAACAUUAUUCAACACAAAAUCCACUCAAAAUGAAGAGUAAAAAAAACAAUCCAACAUCAUUAAAUUGCUAGAGUGGAUUUGCGGCUAAUCUACAUUCAGAAUAAUUUACAUUUCAAACUGUAAUGAAAAAUUGACUACAGUUAGUCCCUAAAGAGUAAGGGAAGCUCAUUUCGCUAUUGCAAGAUGUUUCUGUUUUCUUGGUUGUCUUAUUUCAACUAUAACUGCGACAUGAAAUAAAAUAUGGAUUUGGUAAAAGGUGAGGAAGGCGAAACAUAAAUUAGAAUCAAUCAUCUUUGAAUUCGUAGGUGGAAGGACGAAAAAUAUUGACCCCACAUUCUAGAAGCAAAAUCUAAUUCCCAUCCAGAACUGACCCUCAUCCUUUGACCCUUCCCAGUUGAACCAUUGAAUUUAUUGAAUUAUUGUAUCUCUUUCAAAAGAUUCAAUUGUUGAUGAAAAGGUAAAACAAAAAAGGUUACUUGGAGUGAAAUAAUUUCCAGAUAAUAGAUUCCAUUCACCUUGUAUUUGACUCUACACAAAAGGCUAUUGUCCUAAAACAAAAUGGCAUUUAUGACCACUUUUCAGUCUUCAUGUCCAUUCACCAUUCAACUAGACAAACAAUAAGUCUCAACGGUUCCAUUGGCCAUGUUAACAUGAAAUGCUUCAUUUAGUAUUGUAAACCAAAGAAGCAAAAUUUCAUCAUUUAGUAAUAAAAAGAGUUCAUCUGAAGAGUGAAAUAAAAAUGUAAAACCUUUAA